GCCAGGCAUGGUGGAGCAUGCCUAUAAUCCUAGCAGCUCAGGAGGUUGAGGCAGGAGGAUCGUGAGUUCAAAGCCAGCCUCAGCAACUUGGUGAGGGCCUGUCUCUA
rnacentral:sRNA from 1 species